AGUGAACGCUGGCGGUAGGCCUAACACAUGCAAGUCGAACGGCAGCACAGUAAGAGCUUGCUCUUACGGGUGGCGAGUGGCGGACGGGUGAGGAAUACAUCGGAAUCUACUUUUUCGUGGGGGAUAACGUAGGGAAACUUACGCUAAUACCGCAUACGACCUACGGGUGAAAGCAGGGGAUCUUCGGACCUUGCGCGAUUGAAUGAGCCGAUGUCGGAUUAGCUAGUUGGCGGGGUAAAGGCCCACCAAGGCGACGAUCCGUAGCUGGUCUGAGAGGAUGAUCAGCCACACUGGAACUGAGACACGGUCCAGACUCCUACGGGAGACAGCAGUGGGGAAUAUUGGACAAUGGGCGCAAGCCUGAUCCAGCCAUACCGCGUGGGUGAAGAAGGCCUUCGGGUUGUAAAGCCCUUUUGUUGGGAAAGAAAAGCAGCAAGUUAAUACCCCGCUGUUCUGACGGUACCCAAAGAAUAAGCACCGGCUAACUUCGUG
rnacentral:rRNA from 1 species